GGCUGAGGCAGGAGGAUCGUGAGUUCAAAGCCAGCCUCAGCAACUUAACAAAGCUCUAAGAAACUUAUUGAGACCCUAUCUCAAAAUAAAAAAAUAAAAAGGGGCUGGGAAUGUGGCUCAGUGGUUAAGCACCCCUGGGUUCAAUCCAAAAAAAAAAAAAAGUAGUUGAAGUGUCUUUGGACACUUCAUAAACCUGUGUAUCUGCAGGAACAUCUUUUUAGCUUUGUGUGGCCAGUGAUGUCCUGCUUCCCAUGCCUACAUGGAAAGCUAGUUGUCAAAGAACACAUACUUGUCUUAGGGAGAUGAAUCAGGGUCUUAUGAGAUCCAUGUAACAAUAUACAGACUCUUGUGGUCUUAAUGAACAGAUAAUUGCUAUAGGAGAUCAGCAAAGGGAGAGAUCAAGUCUAUAGGAGAGACUUGAUGGAACAGGUAAGAAGUCAGUGAGAAAGAGCUUGAUUUUCCCCACUGGAAACUGGAGCUAAGCCUUUCUGGGCAGAGGAAGUCCAGGAAGCAUCCUGGGUUCCAACUCAUUCUCUGCUACCAGUGGACUAGGAAUGGGCUGCUUCCCAUGCUCUGUUCCCAGGGGUAAGCAAAUCGGCACAUAAAUACUGUCUGGGACCAGGAAAUUUUAUAAACUUGUGACAAAAAAAUAUGAGAGCAUACCCACCAGCUACUAUGUCAACCAAAGGUUCCCAACAGAUUUUCC
rnacentral:lncRNA from 1 species